UCGAAUGUCGCAGGACGUGCUGGCU
rnacentral:miRNA from 1 species